UUUUUGAAGAGUUCGAGCAAC
rnacentral:miRNA from 1 species